GCCUAGUUAACUUGAAAGGUAGUCUGCCUUGUAAGCACUAGGUCGCGGGUUCGAUUCCCGCCCGAGGCG
rnacentral:tRNA from 1 species